CGGGACGGGUGAGUAACGCGUGGGUAACCUGCCUUGUACUGGGGGACGAACAGUUGGAAACGACUGCUAAUACCGCAUAAGCGCACAGCUUCGCAUGAAGCGGUGUGAAAAACUCCGGUGGUACAAGAUGGACCCGCGUCUGAUUAGCUGGUUGGUGAGGUAACGGCCCACCAAGGCAACGAUCAGUAGCCGGCCUGAGAGGGUGAACGGCCACAUUGGGACUGAGACACGGCCCAA
rnacentral:rRNA from 1 species